UACGUAGGGUGCGAGCGUUGUCCGGAAUUAUUGGGCGUAAAGGGCUCGUAGGCGGUUUUGUCGCGUCGGGAGUGAAAAACCUUGGGCUUAACUCAGGGCUUGCUUUCGAUACGGGCAGACUAGAGGUAUGCAGGGGGAGAACGGAAUUCCUGGUGUAGCGGUGAAAUGCGCAGAUAUCAGGAGGAACACCGGUGGCGAAGGCGGUUCUCUGGGCAUUACCUGACGCUGAGGAGCGAAAAGUGUGGGGGAGCGAACGGGG
rnacentral:rRNA from 1 species